AAUAUUAUUGGACGGAAAUAUUGAGAAAGGUUAAGGGCAAAAAGGAGAAAUUUCAAAAUGGUAAAUGGUAAUAUUGAGGAAAGUCGAGGGGCAAAAUGGGAAUUUCACAAGGCAUUCAAGAAAGUUCUUGAGGGACCAAAGUGUACAUGGUAAGAUAUUAGGUCAUCUUUUAUUCUAAGAAAAAUUCAAAAAAAAAAAAAGGGGGGAAUUCUCUAGAGAAAGAAAGGAUGGCCAAGUGUCCACAUUCUUACUUAAGGGGCCUAAGUGUAUAUAUAAAGAAGUGGUGGGUAAAAUGAAACAAGUAAGUCAUCUUUUAUUUAAGAGAAUUCAAGAAAAAGGAUGAAAGCUCUAGAAGAAGAAAAAAAAAAUGAAUAAAGAGAGCAUGUGCUUCUCACAUGCUUGAAGAAGCCAAGUAUAUAUAUAGAUAGGAGAGGUCAUCUUUUUAAAUCAAGAAGUUGUAGAGAAAGGGAAAAAAAAUAUAGAAGAAGAAGAAAGAGGAGGGGCCAAUUCGGCCAAGAAGGAGGAGAAAGAAAAGACCAAAAAUCUUGCCCCAAAAAUUUAUUUCUCAUAGUAUUUCUACUAAUUCAAAGAUGCUCUCCAACAUGGUAUAAUUGUUGAAGCAAGAGAAUUAUUCUUUGGUGCAAAACUCCAACCUUAGCUAAGUUGAGAAGUUGUGAAGGAAAGAUUUUGGUGAAUUUGGAGCUUGAGUUUGGAGAAGCAAAAGGAGCGGAAAAGGUACUCCCAGAUGAUUAGAAGACCUUACUAAAGAUGUUCCAGCGGAGAUGGCGAACUCCACUUGUCCCGGAGAAUUGCCAAGUCCAAGUAUAUGCUAUGAUGUUAUGUUCUAUGUUAGAGACUUUGCAGACAAAGCAAUGGGUAUUGGGUUGUCAGUCUGUAAGCGGCUCCAGCAGCCGAUAUGCUAUUAUGUUUUAUGUCAUGAGUCUUACAUGAUGUAAGAGCUUACUUAUGAAAAGAAAAAAAAAUAUUGCAGAGCUUACUAUGUAAUUCUUUCUUUACUGAUUCAAGGG